rnacentral:rRNA from 1 species
AAAUUGAAGAGUUUGAUCAUGGCUCAGAUUGAACGCUGGCGGCAGGCCUAACACAUGCAAGUCGAGCGGAAACGAAUUAUCUGAACCUUCGGGGGACGAUAACGGCGUCGAGCGGCGGACGGGUGAGUAAUGCCUAGGAAAUUGCCCUGAUGUGGGGGAUAACCAUUGGAAACGAUGGCUAAUACCGCAUGAUGCCUACGGGC